AACGAAGUAGUUUAAAUAAAGAAUUCUAGGUUUGCGUCUUGGGGGUAAGAUAGUUCUUCUUUGUUG
rnacentral:tRNA from 1 species